rnacentral:rRNA from 1 species
AUUGAACGCUGGCGGCAGGCCUAACACAUGCAAGUCGAACGAGUGGCGGACGGGUGAGAAAUGUCUGGGAACCUGCCUGAUGGAGGGGGAUAACUACUGGAAACGGUACCUAAUACCGCAUAGCAUCCGAUUUUCCCAGAUGGCAUUAGCUUGUUGGUGGGGUAACGGCUCACCAAGGCCACGAUCCCUAGCUGGUCUGAGAGGAUGACCGGCCACACUGGAACUGAGACACGGUCCAGACUCCUACGGGAGGCAGCAGUGGGGAAUAUUCCACAAUGGGCGAAAGCCUGAUGCAGCCAUGCCGCGUGAGUGAAGAAGGCCUUCGGGUUGUAAAGCACUUUCAGCAGGGAGGCGGUACCCGCAGAAGAAGCACCGGCUAACUCCGUGCCAGCAGCCGCGGUAAUAC